rnacentral:rRNA from 1 species
CCUACGGGUGGCAGCAGUGGGGAAUAUUGGACAAUGGGGGCAACCCUGAUCCAGCGACGCCGCGUGUGUGAAGAAGGCCUGCGGGUUGUAAAGCACUUUUAGUGGGGAUGAAAAGUCUAAGGUGAAUACCCUUGGAUCUUGACCUAACCCACAGAAAAAGCACCGGCUAACUCUGUGCCAGCAGCCGCGGUAAUACGGAGGGGGUUAGCGUUGUUCGGAAUGACUGGGCGUAAAGCGCGCGUAGGCGGAUCGGUAAGUUGGGGGUGAAAUCCCGGGGCUCAACCCCGGAAUGGCCUUCAAAACUCCCGGUCUUGAGUUCGAGAGAGGUGAGUGGAAUUCCGAGUGUAGAGGUGAAAUUCGUAGAUAUUCGGAGGAACAUCAGUGGCGAAAGCGACUUCCUGGACCAAUACUGACGCUCAUGUGCGAAAGCGUGGGGAGCA